UUCCAACACCCAUCAGUAGGUGUGCCUUCCUGGAAUCCUUCAGUGGAUUCAUAAAAAUUAGCAUCCCUCAGUAGAUGCUACCCAGAAAUUGUUCCAAAAAAAAUCACAUAAUUACAAGAUUAAAAAUGAAAUAAACCUAAACUAAAACAAAUUAAAAUUGAUUUUUCAACAAUUGGGAUGGCCCCAACACACACCCAUCAGUAGGUGUUGAAUUUCUUCUUGCUUGGUAUUCUCUUUUUCUUCUUCUUUCUGCUAAAUCUCUUUAAAAAGUUGAUCGAACCAAGCACAUGUUUCCAUGCAUCAAUCAUAGGAACUUUAAUCUCUAAUUUCUUGAAGAUCUCCAUGAAGUACUUGAACCUAUUUUCCUUCCUAUGAUUUUUCUUCUGAUGAGGAAAGGGUUUUGCAUAUGAUAUUUUCUUCCUUCCUCUCCUCCUCUUUUUCUCAACCUUCUCCCUCAACUUUCUCUUUUUCUCUUUUCUUCUUUUCUUCUUUAUUUUCGCAUAUCUUCUCUUUUUUUCUUUUUUCUUAACCACUGUUUUUUCUCCCUCAUCAUCUUUAUCUUCCUCAACCAACUCUUCUGUUUCUUCUUCUUUUAAAUCUCUCUUUAUCUCUUCUUCCUCUAUCUUUUCCUCCUUGACAACCUUAUCAUUUUUAGAGAUAAUGGCUUGAUAUUCUUCUUCAGGGUUAACUUCAGUAUUAUCCCUAAUAAUGCCCAAAGACUUCAAUAUGCAAGAGUGUUGUUCCUACAAUAAACGUUCUUCUGCUUCCCCCAACGUUUCUUUUGGCAAGGAGAAUAGUUUCUGCUGUAAAACUCAUUCAGCUUCUCCCAAGGUUUCUUUUGGCACAGAGGAGAGUUCCUGCCAUAAACGUUGCUUAGCUUCCCCCAACGUUUUUGUUGGCCUAGAGAGUUGUUGCUUAACAUCUCGCCCAUUCUGGCUUUGAUUCAAGUUUGAGUGAGGUUCCCACCAGUGGUUGAAAUUAUUUUGGUAGAAUUGACUACCCACAUAAUCAAAUUGUUGUCUAAACUGCAUUCUGCAAACAUUAGGCACAAAACCCUAGAAAACAUUUAUUAGAACAAAAAUAAAAAUAAAAAUAAACAUAAAAUCAAGUCAAAUUCAAUCAAUCCACACUACUUGAAAAAGUAAACCUCGAGUACCCGGCAACGGCGCCAAAAACUUGUUAACGGAUUGGUGUUGACAAAUUGGCAAGUGUACCAAAUCGUACAAGUAAUAUAAAUGGUAAG
rnacentral:lncRNA from 1 species